GGGGCUAUAGCUCAGUGGUAGAGCACUUGCCUUGCACAUGUGAGGCACUGGGUUCGAUCCUCAGUACCCAUA
rfam:Ictidomys tridecemlineatus contig022035, whole genome shotgun sequence.